rnacentral:tRNA from 1 species
AGGAAGGUGGUAUAGGGGUUUGAGCAUUGGACUUCGACUCUGGAGACCAAGGUUCGAAUCCCUGCUUGGCCA